GAGACUUCUGGUCUUAUUAUUUAUUUUGUGGUCGUGUUUUCAGUCAAAAGCAUAGGAAAAACACCGUUCGAAAGUAGAAAAAUAGAUAUUUUUGCGAAGUUGCUCAACCGAUCUUCAUUUUGGAACUCAAAUUUGAAAGAUAAAUGGUAAGUGGUUAUUUUUAUGUAAAAAUAUAUACGUUUAUAGGCUAAAUACAAAGAAAAAAUAGUAUAAUACAAAUUACAAUCUCGGUGCUUGUGAUGUUCUUGCCAAGAAGCAAAUUCCCAUUUCGCUAAAUUAAUGCGGGCCAAACGUAUUGCUUUCCUGUCUUUUACAUUAAUAAGAAAGCAUAGGUGCUGAUUUGAAACACGUCCAUCAGGUUCCAUGCAUGUAGCUUUGCGAUUUGUGAGCAAAAAUUAAAAGUUAAACUACCUAUGUUUUUAAUACUUUCUGUGCAACUAAAAACCACAUUCACAAAUAUAUUCUCCAGCAAAGAAACGUUUCUUUACGGAUUGUUAAUCCGCAUUUGAAGGCAUGCUUAUGCCUUCAAAGGUCAGAGGUCUUUCACAUGCAGAAUAGCAGAGACUACUGUCAUUGACAUCCUUUGUCACAAAAUUAUGAUGGCAUAUUGGACAGCUAUGUUGGAUAAGGCACUUCCUUAAUAAAUAGCCUGACACAUAAGUUCAUGCAGACUAAGUUUUGUUCAUUUGUUUUGUAGUCGGUAUCUUCAACUGCUUGGAUUAGUGGUGGGCUUGUCUGAUCAUUUCCUGCAGAUAAAUCAGAUUGGCUAGAGUGAAAUGCAAUCAAAUAGUGUAAAUACUACAACAGUGAAAUGUAAAUACAACAGUGUAAUUGGGG